rnacentral:rRNA from 1 species
GACGAACGCUGGCGGCGUGCCUAAUACAUGCGAGUUGAGCGCUGAAGGUUGGUACUUGUACCGACUGGAUGAGCAGCGAACGGGUGAGUAACGCGUGGGGAAUCUGCCUUUGAGCGGGGGACAACAUUUGGAAACGAAUGCUAAUACCGCAUAAAAUCUUUAAACACAAGUUUUAAGUUUGAAAGAUGCAAUUGCUUCACUCAAAGAUGAUCCCGCGUUGUAUUAGCUAGUUGGUGAGGUAAAGGCUCACCAAGGCGAUGAUACAUAGCCGACCUGAGAGGGUGAUCGGCCACCAUGGGACUGAGACACGGCCCAAACUCCUACGGGAGGCAGCAGGAGGGAAUCUUCGGCAAUGGACGAAAGUCUGACCGAGCAACGCCGCGGGAGUGAAGAAGGGUGUCGGAUCGUAAAACUCUGUUGGUAGAGAAGAACGUUGGUGAGAGUGGAAAGCUCAUCAAGUGACGGUAACUACCCAGAAAGGGACGGCUAACUACGUG